CAGAAACUUUAGAAAACAAGUUGAAAUAUCUACUGUCAGGAAAAUUGAUCAAUGUGAUAAUAUACAUAAUGGAAAAUGCUACAGCUUUGAAAAUGAACAAACUAUAGCUAUAUACAUCAACAUAGGUGAGUUCCCAAACAAUGCUAAAAAAAAUUCAAGUGACAGUAUAAUGUAUAUAGUAUAAUUCCACUUAUAUUAAGUUCCAAAUAGUCAAAAUAGUCAAAAUAUAUUUAGGGACAAAUACCUAAGUGGGAAAACUAUAAGGCAGGAGAAUGAAUAUCACUAAUAUCACUGAUUGCUAAUUAUUUAAGAAUUAAUAUUACUAACCGCUAAUGAACAUCAAAAAUGUAGAUAGCUGUGGGUUGGGAAGAUAUAAUCAGGGAGGAUAAUACAGGGGAUUUUUAAGCUCUCAGUAAUGUUCUAUUUUUUAACCUUUUUGGUUUAUAAUUAUACUGUAAAAUGUACAUAUACAUUUUAUAUGUUCUUAUGUGUGCUUAACAACAUAAAAGUAAAAUGUUUAAAAAGAAAGCUCCCAUGACAUACAGUUAACUGAAAAAAAGCACGUUACAAAACAUGAACACGUACUAUGAUGCCAUUGUGAAAAAAAAUUAAAAACAUUGGUCUAUCUCUAACAUUUUAAAAAA
rnacentral:antisense_RNA from 1 species